rnacentral:rRNA from 1 species
UACGAAGGGGGCUAGCGUUGCUCGGAAUCACUGGGCGUAAAGGGUGCGUAGGCGGGUCGUUUAAGUCAGAGGUGAAAGCCUGGAGCUCAACUCCAGAACUGCCUUUGAAACUAGACAGCUAGAAUCAUGGAGAGGUGAGUGGAAUUCCGAGUGUAGAGGUGAAAUUCGUAGAUAUUCGGAAGAACACCAGUGGCGAAGGCGGCUCACUGGACAUGUAUUGACGCUGAGGAGCGAAAGCGUGGGGAGCGAACAGG